rnacentral:rRNA from 1 species
AUAUCAGUCAUGCAUAGCAUAUCAAUAGCGGAGGAAAAGAAACUAACAAGGAUUCCCUUAGUAACGGCGAGUGAAGCGGGAAGAGCUCAAAUUUGAAAUCUUCAGGGUUUUACCUUGACGAAUUGUAGUUUAAAGAAGUGAUUUUCUGUUGAAGUUUUGGUAAAAGUUCUUUGGAAUAGGACAUCAUAGAGGGUGAGAAUCCCGUAUUUGACCAUUACUUUCAGCUUUGUGAUACACUUUCAAAGAGUCGGAUUGUUUGGGAAUGCAGUCCAAAAUGGGUGGUAAAUUUCAUCUAAAGCUAAAUAUUGGCGAGAGACCGAUAGCGAACAAGUACCGUGAGGGGAAAGAUGAAAAGAACUUUGAAAAGAGAGUUAAACAGUACGUGAAAUUGUCAAAAGGGAAGCGUUUGACACCAGUGUUGUUUUCUCGAAAAUCAAUUAAAAAGAGUUGGAUUUUGUGUUGUAUUGACUUUAUCAGCUUUCUUCACUCUUUUCCAGCUUUUUUUAAUGCACUUUUCGUUUAACAAGUCAACAUCAGUUUCUUUUGUUGUAAAAAGGUCAUUGGAAGGUGGCUUUCUCUUCGGAGAAAGUGUUUAUAGCCUUUGACUCAUGCAAUCGGAGAGACUGAGGUCUGCAGCGUAGAUCCUUCGGGGUUAGAUACAUUUGUGCUAAGUUAUAGCUUUUCAUAGACAACUUGUUGACUAUGUUUAGUCUUGUAGCUUACUCGCUUAUGCUAUUUUACCUACGCUUAGGAUGUUGAACUCUAUCACACACAG